CUGGCUCAGGAUGAACGCUAGCUACAGGCUUAACACAUGCAAGUCGAGGGGCAGCAUGAGAUUAGCUUGCUAAUCUUGAUGGCGACCGGCGCACGGGUGAGUAACGCGUAUCCAACCUUCCCCCUACUCAGGCAUAGCCCGGUGAAAACCGGAUUAACUCCUGAUAGUUUCACUAGAUGGCAUCUGACGGUGAAUAAAGCUCAGCGGUAAGGGAUGGGGAUGCGUCUGAUUAGCUUGUUGGCGGGUAACGGCCCACCAAGGCGACGAUCAGUAGGGGUUCUGAGAGGAAGGUCCCCCACAUUGGAACUGAGACACGGUCCAAACUCCUACGGGAGGCAGCAGUGAGGAAUAUUGGUCAAUGGGCGCGAGCCUGAACCAGCCAAGUAGCCGUGCAGGAAGACGGCCCUAUGGGUUGUAAACUGCUUUUGUGCGGGAAUAAAGUCAGGGACGUGUCCCUGUUUGCAUGUACCGCAAGAAUAAGGACCGGCUAAUUCCGUGCCAGCCGCGGC
rnacentral:rRNA from 1 species